rnacentral:tRNA from 1 species
UGUCAAGGGAUGGGAAUCGAACCCACGACCUUCCGCUUACUGGGCAGAUGCCAUGACCAUUAGGCUACCCUGGAC